CACACAGAGACACAGACGGACACAAGUUCACGAUCUGCCGCAUGUCGACAAUGUACAGAAAAGAAGGGAAAGCUCUGCACGGCGAUGCAGACGUGGUUGAAAAUGUUUGUUUUCACAUAUUUUGCAUCAGCGAUGUUGACUCUUUGCAGCUACGUCACUCGAGGCGCCGCGAUGGACGUCAGAGUGGAACCAGGACCGAUUAGUCUGCACGCCUUCCUCUCUUUACCCAAAUCUGACAACAUCAGAAGAGUUCAGACUCACCUGCUGAUCCAAAACCGGUGGGCAUCUGUAUGCAGACGUCGUUUUGGCAUGACAGAUUUAUGAGAAGUCUGACUGCAUUAGUGGAAAACCAAGUGGGAAAUGGGAAGGUGUUGUAGCGUUCUGUUCAAGUGAGGCAGCUGCUUUUGAUUCUAACAACCUCAGUUUGUUUUCUAAAGUCAAAUAACUGCCUAAAAAAAUAAAAAAAAAUCGAUGUUGUUGACAAACUGUACUCCUCUGAGUCUGCAUCUACCCCCGGUUGUUAUUUACUUCGAGUCGUGAUGCAAGUUCACCAGAACACACACACACAUACACACAGCAGGACACUGUCAGAAAGCUGCUGCAUAACCUGUUCAGUGAACAACAUGACAAAAUCAGAAUAAACAGCCACCUGAAACAUCCAAAUUGUAACAAAAAAGAUCCACUUUCAGCUGGCUUUAAGCAUACGAUUUCUCCAAUAUUAGAUUUGGUCUCCUGUCUAUUAAUAGGCUGAAAUUAAUUACCCUCAGUCGGUUAGAGGUAAUGAAUUCCAGUGAAGUGAUUCCUUCGCAAUGAAGCCGAGCUGCAAGAUUAUCUCUCAUUAUUUGAUCUUUAAGCGUAGAGGAUCAAAAUAACAAGGCAGAUAAGAAAUUACACCCAACAGAUAACUCCGUGGCUAAAAGUGAGCUUCUUUUCACUAAAAUGAAAAUGUGAUUUAACUCUUAACGUACUGCUACCACGGGAAAAAAGAAAAAUCUCUCCAUCCAUUUUGAAUAACUGUGCAAAGCAGAGGCCCAACAUGGUGAGAUUUGCUUAAAAUGAGGUUUUCCAGCAGGAAAUGCAGUGAAUGGCUGCACACAUCCAGAAGGAAACAUGGUACCAUUUCAUUUCAUGGGGUCGUUCGUUUGUCUGCAAUCUUACUCUGUGAAACACAAAAUCCUCCACAGGCAGCUUUCUGUGAAGAACCCUGCUGCCAUGCUGUGGUCUCAGAUUUGACUAGACUAGAGCAGGUGCUGAUUCAGAGCUGGGAUGGUUGGGUCUGUUUACGGAAGGUUUCUCUGUAAGCGAUGACAGGAAAAGACCUCGAGGGGUUUUUAUUUUUUCUUUUGCACCUGCCUUUGCGGCUCAUUUUUAAACAGACACAUUUAACUCCUAGAAGUAUGUUUGCGAAAAGACAUUUGCGAGAACAGAAGGCGUUGGUUUGUAUGAUUUCUAUGUUUACAUCUCAGUGCUGGUCCUGCGUACGUGAACAACGAAGUCCAACGAAGAGCAUCGUGUGGCCAAACAGACUUGAGUUUUGCCGAUUGUUAAAAAUGAUAAUACUGUUGCGAUCGCUGGCUUUUACACAUCAUAUCUUGAUCAUUCAUACUGAACUCACACUGUCCAACUCAAACAUAGAUUUUGACUUCCUUCCUGUCAUAUUUUUGCACUCAACACAGGAUCUAAACACGACAUCCAGGUUAAACGGACAAAAAAAUACAGUCAUUAAUAUUCAAACCGCUACAAAGUUGCAAAACAGUUUUUACAAGUUGUUUAAAACUUUGAAGUUUUACUUCUAGUGGUUUGCAAGCUGGGAUUUAGGUUUUUUUUUUUUUAGUGUACAAAAUCAUUGAAUAAUUCAACAGAAAAUAAGGUUCUGCAUCCUGGUCCAUACUUUACAGCAAGAAAACCUCACGGCGAAAUGAAGCCAGGCAGCGUAUUAAAGAUUCAAGGUCGGCGUUCCUAUACGUGAUCUGGUCCGACUGUGUUAGUUUACCUAAGGGCUGUAAAGUGACGUGCAAACUGUUGCAGUGGAAAUGGGGCUAAUAAAGACAGCAAUUUGUUGCAUUUUUAAUAACAGAGAGCCUCUCUAAUCUGCCCAAGCAGCAUGUUAAAAAAGGCCUGAUGAUUCCUAAAGGAGUGAAAGCCUCCAAAAGCUCAGAAUAAACGGGUUCAUAUGCUCCUUAUUAGCCGCUGGGGCGUUUGUGUCGCAUCUGCCCCGUUCUCUGCGCAAAACUCCAGAUCUUCUUGUUAGCUGACACAACAGGAGGGAGGCGGUGAGAAACGGCAGAGCAAAAACGGCGAAAGGGAGAGGGAACGGCAGAAGGGAAAACGGAUAAAAGAGGGCAUAAUACGAUGGAGAAGGAAGUAUCGGGAUAAUGUGACGAGACGGAGAGAGAGAGAGAGAGAGACCAAAGAGGGGGUAAAUAGAGAGAGGGGAAAAUGAGAAAUUGCGGAUGAUAAUUGGAGACGGAACGAGCGAGGAAAAAGAGAGAGCAGGUGGCCUGCGAUAGACCAAACCCGCCAUGAAAUAUUCAAUCUUUAAUCAGACUCCCAGCAUUCCCUAACGAGGCGUGAGAAGGAUGAAUUAGGCCUUCGAGUUUGGGGAGCUGAGCGGCUCAAAGUUAUCUCGCACCGACACGCUCGCCAACAGACUCAGUAUCACACACGCACCACUGUACCAGAUGUGUCCUUUUUUUUAUCCCCACAAGUGUACAGUGACGAGAUUAAUGAGCCGCACGUGGUUGGACGGAGAGACAAACAGAAAACACACACACACACACACACAGUCAGUCAGUCAGUGUCCUGCUGAGUGUGUUUGUCUGUGGAGAAUGAGACGGAGUCGUGCUCAAGACACUAUUUUCACCCAAAUUCUGCCCAGUUUUUAUCCUGAAAUAUGCAGAAAGACUCUCCUUCAGGGAUCCUGCACAUUUUUUUUUUCAUAUUUUUCAGACUAAACGUGAAAAAAAUUAUUUUCAACAGGAAGUAAUGGGGCAUAUCUUUUUUUUCUUUUCUUUUUUUUUUUUACAAGUCAGGCUUUAAAUAUGAAACCUGCACAAAACCACAGACAGGAAUGAAGGAUAAAGAAAAA